UUAACCUACGGGAGGCAGCAGUCGGGAAUAUUGCACAAUGGAGGAAACUCUGAUGCAGUGACACCGCGUAUAGGAAGAAGGUUUUCGGAUUGUAAACUAUUUUAGACAGGGAAGAAAAAAGACAGUACCUGUAGAAUAAGCUCCGGCUAACUACGUGCCAGCAGCCGCGGUAAUACGUAGGUGGCAAGCGUUGUCCGGAUUUAUUGGGCGUAAAGCGAGUGCAGGCGGUUCAAUAAGUCUGAUGUGAAAGCCUUCGGCUCAACCGGAGAAUUGCAU
rnacentral:rRNA from 1 species